rnacentral:misc_RNA from 1 species
GACCUCAAAUAGCUGACGGAGGUGACGAAUAGUUAGCACGAGAAAAUUUGAUUUGAAAAAAAAUAACUAUUUACAUGUGAUAGAGAAACGAAAAAAUAGGGCUGAAAGUGGACUUGAAUUGAUUUGCUUUAUUUGAUUUGACUGUGAUCUGAUCGAAAAUCCAAGAAAUAUCUAUUGUUUUGCAGUUCUUGUUUAAUUCAAUAUUGAUACAUUGUAUAGCGAAACGAACGAAACGAGCGAAACCAUCGCCGAAGAAACGAAACGAAACGGAGUGGCGUGCAACGUUUGGUAAGCGGAGCCUUUUAAAUUUAUUUCAUAGAUCAGUGUAGAGUUGUCGUUAUUGUAUGAUAAUAGGUAUGUAAGUGCUUUCCAGCAGAAUGUUUACCUUGGCACGUCAAACCCGAAAUUAAGUGGUGUUUUGUUGCUGUUGUUGUUUCAGAAACCGAUUGGAAUACACCAAACACAUCGCGUUUCAUAUAACACUCUUCUUCGGCGGCGACAGUUUCAAACGUUCACAAACAACAGUAGCUUAAACACGGACAGUUCUUCAGCCACUGCAUUGCCUUAUUUCCCAAAACACGUUGCAUUCUCAAUAUGUCUGAAACCACGGAUCAGGUCAAACAAAAACGCAAAUAUGCGCUAGCAAAGCUCACACGAGUAAGGCGUCGGGCACUAGUAAUGAUUAAUGCCAAGGGGAGCAGGACAGAUGUACUAAAACUGAUGCCUGAGUUAGAUGAAGCGUUUCUAAAUGUGGAGAUUCUCUCUGACAAGUAUAUUGAGACACUUGAAGACGCUGAUGCUCUGGAAAAGGCCCAAAGAUAUAAACAAGAGGCAGAGCGACAAUAUGAAGAGACGAUGAUUCAAGUGCAACAAUAUUUAUCGGAACGAAAGGACGAACCAGAGUCUGUAGCUGGCGGUUCACAAUGUUCUAAAACGUCUCAAUUGUCUUCCGCUUCAAGGAAGGCCGAAGUUACUUUGAAAAUGAAGGAGUUUGAAUUGGAGCAACUGAAAAGAAGACAUGAACGAGAGAGACAGGAAGAAGAGAUGAAGAGAGCAAACCAGCUGGAAGAUGCAAAGGAAGCGCGAGCAGCGGCUGAACUCGAGGCGAAACUCACCUUGGCUGCAGAAUCUGAACUCACCUGGGAGCGCCGACAUGAUUUUAUUGAGGAAAAGACUGCCGAUGAAGAAGGCAAUGAUGGCCGUGGCGUUGAAGAGUUUGGAAAGGUCAAUCCAGCCUCUAGAGUUUCCCUUUCCCAUUCUGACGCAGCCCAACAGUCGUUGAUGGGAGAACCGGAGGCUCCGCGACCCAGCUACACAGACAACUUCUUGAGAAACCUUCCCCGACUGGAGCUGACGAAGUUUAGUGGUGCUCCAGGAGAAUGGCCGAAAUGGUUCUCUUUGUUUCAAACCCUGGUCGGAAAUCAGCCUCAUCUAUCGGAGACAGAGAAAAUGGCACACUUGCAGGGUGCAGUAGUCGGUUCGGCUCAGACAACUAUAGCUGGUAUGUUAUAUGAUGGCCGACUGUACAAAGCAGCUUUGAAGGCUUUGGAAAAUCGGUAUGGAAGACAAGAAGACGUAGUUCACGCAAACAUGACAGCUAUAUUCAAGUGCCCAUCGCCAAGAUAUCUUGAUGCCGAGUCUAUGGAUCAGUUCCAUGCAGUUCUACAUUCGGCUGUUUCUGUCCUGCAGAACAUGGGGUAUGAUGAUGACUUGCGAAGUUCAGAAAAUCUCCGCAGUGUGGUCAAGAAGCUACCCCUGGAGUUGAAGAAAGAUUGGGGACAACACGUUUUGAAUUUGGAACCUGUAAGACCGACCCUGGUGGAUCUUGAUAUGUGGCUACAGCGGCAAGUGAGAGUGGCCAUUAAUUUUGAAACAGUAUCGACUGAAGACAACAGAGCGAUGAAAGCAAGGAAAUCUGGGGCUGAAACGACGUCAACAAGAAGAACUGCCUUUAACACGGACGUCGUUAGCUAUAGCGUAUGCAUAUCUUGUGGAGAGCAGCAUAGACUGGACUCGUGCCCCCUGUUUCUGGAGAAAGGUGUUGACAGCAGAGCGGAGUUCGUGAUGUCAUCAAACACAUGUUUUUAUUGUCUUAAAACAGGACACAAGUCAAGACAUUGCAGACUGGCAAGACCGUGCGGAAUUGAUGGCUGUAGGGUUCGCCAUCACCGCCUGCUCCACGGUAGCCGAAGACUGAGCCGUCCUACGUUAGUCGGUGAGACAAACAAUGACAAUAAUCCUGGUGAAGAUGACACGACUCGCGUCAUCGCAGCCGCGUGCAAAACAGAUCGGCAUGCCACUACUCUGUUGCAAGUUGUUCGAGUCAGAAUCAUGGGUGAACAAGGACGGACAAGGACGGUUAAUGCUUUGCUUGACCCAGGUGCUCAGACGUCCCUGUGUUGCGCCGAGGUUCUACGGGAUCUAAAUAUAACAGGAGAUACUCAGGGCAUUCAACUCCAGACGGUCAGGGGAUGCGGGACAACACAGAGCUCCCAGCGGGUGAAGUUAACCCUUUUACCCAUUGAAGGGCCAUAUAACGACCCCAUACUCGUUUCCGAAGUGUUUUCCGUUCCUGAUCUGCACCUGAAGACCCCUUAUCUUGAACAGCGAAUGCAAGACUGGGAACAUCUAAAAGGUCUCAACAUAGCAGGCUACAAUGGCCAGAGAGUCGAGCUUCUCUUGGGGGCCAACACUAUUGAAGCAGUGUUACAACGAGAGGCCAGAGUGGGCAAGCCCGGAGAACCAGUCGCCGUAAAAACAGCAUUUGGCUGGGCGUUAACUGGAUCGAUCAAUAGCAUCGUACCGGAACACAUGAAGCAAGUGUUUUGCAUUUAUCAGACAGAAACAAACGAAGCAAUGCAUGACCUGCAAAUGUGGUGGAGCACUGAGUCCUUUGGGACAAAGUAUGAAGACAAAUAUUCGUUGUCUGUCGAAGACAGAAGGGCAAUGCAGAUUUUGACAGAGAAAACCAGGAAAGUAGGAAAUCAUUACGAAGUGGGACUUUUAUGGAAAUCAGAUGAGGUCCGAAUGCCGAACAAUUACAAUGCAGCCUUUCGUCGCUUGCUGUCCACCGAAAGGAGCCUUAAUAGGCAACCGGAGAAAGCAGAGGCAUACAAAGAGGUGCUGAUGGGGUAUGUGCGCAAGGGUCAUGCCCGCAAGUUAACAAAUGAAGAAAUGCUGGAUAAAACUCCCAAAACUUGGUUCUUACCCCACCAUGGGGUUUCCAACCCCAAUAAAGCGAAGAUACGCGUUGUUUUUGACGCAGCCGCAAGUUACAAAGGAACCUCCCUGAAUGAGCAGUUGCUAACUGGUCCCGACCUCUUGCAGAAUCUGGUGGGGAUUCUCGUGCGAUUCCGGGAAGAAAGGGUCGCCUUAAUGGCGGAUAUAACGGAAAUGUUUCAUCAAGUUAGGGUGCGUGAGGAAGAUCAGCCUGCCCUCACAUUUUUAUGGAGAGACUGCGACGCAUCCAAGCCACCUGACCAAUACCGAAUGCUUGUGACGGUAUUCGGUGCUCGAUGUAGCCCAGCUGCGGCGAGCUACGUUCUUGGAAGAACAGCUGACGACCACCAGACAGAUUCUCCAACCAGUGUGAGAGCAGCCGCAGCUGUGCGCAGCAGUUUCUACAUGGAUGAUUUCCUUCAUUCCGAAAAGACUGUCGAUGAAGCAAAAGAUACGCAAGAGAAUGUAACGAAGAUUGUUAGCGGAGGGGGAUUUGUUUUAACCAAGUGGGUGAGCAGUCACCCCGAGACUCUUGACGACUCACCGGCUGCCACUGCUAAUCCAUCUACUGUAGACCUCUCACGUCAUCAGCAGGGCUGCGAAAGAGCGUUAGGCUGCGUUUGGUCUCCCCAAGCCGAUACCAUUGGGGUGAAGCAUCGUGAUAAAGAGGUCCCUGAGACAAAGCGGGGAGUUCUUCGGCGAGUAUCGAUGAUUUUUGACCCCCUCGGGAUUGUCGCGCCUUUCACAAUUCGUGCCAAAGUGCUCGUUCAGCGCCUAUGGUCCCUGAAAUACGGAUGGGAUGACAUGCUACGCGAUACAGAACUUCAUGACUUUCGCUCUUGGCUGACAGAGCUCCCCUGCCUCGAAAGUAUAGCAAUUCCUCGUUGCUACAAGACCGGUCUGUCUCAAGAACCUGAAGAAUAUGAACUUCAUGUAUUCUGCGAUGCUUCAGAGGCAGCAUUCGGUGCCGUGGCAUAUGUCAGAAUGACGGCUGAGGAUGCCGAAGGAGAGCGUGAAGUGGUGUGCUCCUUCAUAAUGGCAAAGACGAGAUUGGCACCACUGAAGCAGUUAACCAUAGCUCGACUGGAGCUGCAAGCGGCAGUCCUCGCCUGCCGACUAGCCGAAUCCAUCAAACAGUCGAUGAAUUACAGAUUCUCUCGCUGUUAUUAUUGGACUGACAGCAAAAUCGUGCUCGCCUAUAUCCAGCAAGAGAGCCGGCGUUUCCAUACGUUCACGGCAAACCGUGUGUCGGAAAUACACGGUUCAUCGAGCCCAGAUGAUUGGCAUCACAUCCCCGGUGAACUGAAUCCUGCGGACGCCUGCUCACGCGGCGUCUCGGGGGCCGCACUCUGUGACCUGUCUUCAUGGUGGAACGGUCCCGAUUUUCUUCGGAAAAUACCGAUGACUUGGCCGGGACAGAACAAGAUGCUGCCAGAUCUUGAUGCAGCUGAUCCUGAAUUAAGGAGUCCGCUACUUGUCUUGAGCACUCAGCUUUUUCAGCCGGUGUUGCCAGAUCCUGCGCGAUUUUCUUCAUGGCGAAAAUAUAAGAGGAUAGUGGCAUGGGUCAACAGGUUCAUGACAAACCUGAAGGCAACGGUAACGAAGAGUGAACGAGUUCACACUCCUCUGACUGGUCUGGAGAUCCAGCGUGCGAACGACACAAUAUUGAUUGAAGCACAGAGACAAUGUUUCGCAGAAGAUAUUGAGAUGGUGCAGGCCACUGGUUCGGUGAGCUCCUCAAGCCGGCUGGCUGAUUUAUCGCCAUUUCUAGACGAUGUAGGUGUUCUCCGAGCCGGAGGGCGUCUGUCCAACGCCCCAGUUCCUGAGGCGACUCGCCAUCCAGCUAUCUUGAGCAACGAUGGCGAGGUUACGCGGCUGAUCAUUUACGAUGCACAUCAGCGAGUGCUGCAUGCCGGAGUCGAUCACACGCUGAGUGAACUUCGUCAGCAAUACUGGAUACCGAAAGCCAGGUCUACUGUCAAAAGAAUAUUGCACGCAUGUGCGUUUUGUCGCAACCGUAGAGCACGACCGAUUCAGCCCAAGAUGUCAGACCUUCCGCGUCAUAGAUUUGACACUACUCGCCCGUUUCGCCGCGUAGGUCUUGACUUCUUGGGCCCAUUGCCAGUUAAAAGGUUCCGCAAGACUGAGAAGCGUUGGGUUCUCCUGAUAACUUGCUUGAGCACGAGAGCUCUCCACUUGGAGAUAGUGGAGUCAAUGGACACAGAUAGCUUCUUGAUGGGUCUUCGACGCUUCUUUGGUCGCAGGGGCAAGCCAUCAGUCAUCUACUCAGACAAUGGGACCAAUAUUGUUGCAGGCGAGAAGGAGCUGAGGAGCCUUAUUCGAGAUUGGAACCAGUCGCAGAUCUUGGACUGGCUGAGUCAAGACCAUAUUGAAUGGCACUUCAACCCUCCAACCGCUAGCCACAUGGGUGGCGUGUGGGAACGUCUGGUAGCUUCUGUGAAGCGAUCUCUUCGUGUCGUCCUAGGAAAUCAGAUCGUCUCCAAUGAAGUACUUAGCACUGUGCUAGUAGAAGUGGAAAGCGUUCUGAAUAGCCGGCCGAUCACAUAUUGUAGUGGUGACGCAAACGAUCCUGAGCCUCUCACUCCACGUCACUUCCUACUCGGCUAUCCAGAAGUGUUUCUUCCACCAGGAAUGUUCGAUGAUUCGGCACUGCUGAGUAGAAAGAGAUGGCGACAUUCGCAAGUGCUCGCUAACCACUUCUGGCGAAGGUGGAGAAAGGAGUACCUCCCGACCUUGAUGCGCCGUGAGAAGUGGACUCAAGCAUCCGAGAAUCUUCGGGAGGGGGACGUGGUCUUGAUGGUAGAUGAUGAAACUCCACGCGGCUACUGGCCACUUGCGGCCGUCACCCGAGCCUUUACAGGCGAAGAUGGUUAUGUCCGCUCUGUAGAGCUGAAAACCGGAAGCGGUUCGACAUACAGACGACCAGCAAAUAAAGUGUGCCUUCUGGAAAAAUCUGAGUGAUUUGACUCGUUAGCUCAUACAUACAUCAGCCACAAGUGAGCAGCUUGCAUGACGUUAGGCAGAGGUUGAUGCAACCUGUUAACUUCAUACGCCCGCACUGUACAUAAACACUAUUCAUCAUUAAUCAUUACAAGUCACAUAAAUCGAUACAUCACAGCAUGACAGUUCCGGCUUCCUGCAACCGUCUUUGGAGCCGUCGGACUGGAGGUCAAGAGGAGGACAUCAGAUGAUUUGCCCAGCAUCACGAGGCGACCAGGCAGUGGCAGCUGGCAGGCCGCUGCCAUCCAGCUAGCGUUCCCUUCUCUCCAACCAAGAACUGCACCUGACCCGGGACUGAAGACAAGGACACACUGGUCGCGAGCCUGGCCAAUGUCAUGUUCCUGCUCAAGCGGACCACUGGCGGGGGAGGGUGUCGCGACCUCAAAUAGCUGACGGAGGUGACGAAUAGUUAGCACGAGAAAAUUUGAUUUGAAAAAAAAAAUAACUAUUUACAUGUGAUAGAGAAACGAAAAAAUAGGGCUGAAAGUGGACUUGAAUUGAUUUGCUUUAUUUGAUUUGACUGUGAUCUGAUCGAAAAUCCAAGAAAUAUCUAUUGUUUUGCAGUUCUUGUUUAAUUCAAUAUUGAUACAUUGUAUAGCGAAACGAACGAAACGAGCGAAACCAUCGCCGAAGAAACGAAACGAAACGGAGUGGCGUGCAACGUUUGAAACCGAUUGGAAUACACCAAACACAUCGCGUUUCAUAUAACACUCUUCUUCGGCGGCGACACCAUUCGCGAAUGGCCGGCCAUUCGCAAACGGAC